rnacentral:rRNA from 1 species
CCUACGGGAGGCAGCAGUGAGGAAUAUUGGUCAAUGGACGAAAGUCUGAACCAGCCAAGUAGCGUGAAGGAUGACUGCUCUAUGGGUUGUAACCUUCUUUUAUAAAGGAAUAAAACGAGGCACGUGUGCCUGUCUGCAUGUAGUUUAUGAAUAAGGAUCGGCUAACUCCGUUCCAGCAGCCGCGGUAAUACGGAGGAUUCGAGCGUUAUCCGGAUUUAUUGGGUUUAAAGGGAGCGUAGAUGGGUUGUUAAGUCAGUUGUGAAAGUUUGCGGCUCAACCGUAAAAUUGCAAUUGAUACUGGCAUUCUUGAGUACAGUUGAGGUAGGCGGAAUUCGUGGUGGAGCGGUGAAAUGCUUAGAUAUCACGAAGAACACCGAUUGCGAAGGCAGCUUACUAAACUGUGACUGACGUUGAUGCUCGAAAGCGUGGGUAGCAAACAGGAUUAGAUACCCGAGUAGUC